rnacentral:rRNA from 1 species
UACGGGGGGAGCAAGCGUUGUUCGGAUUUACUGGGCGUAAAGGGCGCGUAGGCGGCGCGACAAGUCACUUGUGAAAUCUCCGGGCUUAACCCGGAGCGGCCAAGUGAUACUGUAGUGCUAGAGUGCGGAAGGGGCUACUGGAAUUCUCGGUGUAGCGGUGAAAUGCGUAGAUAUCGAGAGGAACACCUGCGGCGAAGGCGGGUAGCUGGGCCGACACUGACGCUGAGGCGCGAAGCCAGGGGAGCGAACGGG